rnacentral:rRNA from 1 species
AUUGAACGCUGGCGGCAGGCCUAACACAUGCAAGUCGAGCGGAUGAAGGGAGCUUGCUCCUUGAUUCAGCGGCGGACGGGUGAGUAAUGCCUAGGAAUCUGCCUGGUAGUGGGGGAUAACGUCCGGAAACGGGCGCUAAUACCGCAUACGUCCUGAGGGAGAAAGUGGGGGAUCUUCGGACCUCACGCUAUCAGAUGAGCCUAGGUCGGAUUAGCUAGUUGGUGGGGUAAAGGCCUACCAAGGCGACGAUCCGUAACUGGUCUGAGAGGAUGAUCAGUCACACUGGAACUGAGACACGGUCCAGACUCCUACGGGAGGCAGCAGUGGGGAAUAUUGGACAAUGGGCGAAAGCCUGAUCCAGCCAUGCCGCGUGUGUGAAGAAGGUCUUCGGAUUGUAAAGCACUUUAAGUUGGGAGGAAGGGCAGUAAGUUAAUACCUUGCUGUUUUGACGUUACCAACAGAAGAAGCACCGGCUAACUUCGUG